CCUACGGGAGGCAGCAGUGGGGAAUAUUGGGCCAUGGGCGCAAGCCUGACCCAGCAACGCCGCGUGAAGGAAGAAGGCUUUCGGGUUGUAAACUUCUUUUAUCAGGGACGAAGCAAGUGACGGUACCUGCUGAAUAAGCCACGGCUAACUACGGGCCAGCAGCCGCGGUAAUACGUAGGUGGCAAGCGUUCUCCGGAUUUACUGGGUGUAAAGGGCUAGUAGGCGGGAGUGUAAGUCAGAUGUGAAAACUAUGGGCUAAACCCAUAGCCUGCAUUUGAAACUGUACUUCUUGAGUGCUGGAGAGGCAAUCGGAAUUCCGGGUGUAGCGGUGAAAUGAGUAGAUAUACGGAGGAACACCAGUGGCGAAGGCGGAUUGCUGGACAGUAACUGACGCUGAGGCGCGAAAGCGUGGGGAGCAAACAGGAUUAGAUACCCUUGUAGUC
rnacentral:rRNA from 1 species